GACAGAGGGGGCAAGCGUUGUCCGGAUUGACUGGGCGUACAGCGCGCGCAGGCGGCCAAGUAUGUGCAAGGUGACACUCCACGGCUCAACCGUGGGCGGACCUGGUAGACAGCCUGGCUGGAGUACGAGAGAGGGUCGUGGAAUGCCCGGUGGAGCGGUGAAAUGCGUAGAGAUCGGGCGGAACACCAGCGGCGAAGGCGGCGACCUGGCUCGUGACUGACGCUGAGGCGCGAGAGCGUGGGGAGCGAACGGG
rnacentral:rRNA from 1 species